UACGAAGGGGGCUAGCGUUGUUCGGAAUCACUGGGCGUAAAGCGCACGUAGGCGGAUCCUUAAGUCAGGGGUGAAAUCCCGAGGCUCAACCUCGGAACUGCCUUUGAUACUGGCGAUCUUGAGUCCGGGAGAGGUGAGUGGAACUGCGAGUGUAGAGGUGAAAUUCGUAGAUAUUCGCAAGAACACCAGUGGCGAAGGCGGCUCACUGGCCCGGUACUGACGCUGAGGUGCGAAAGCGUGGGGAGCAAACAGG
rnacentral:rRNA from 1 species